UUACGCCCAGUAAUUCCGAGUAACGCUUGCACCCUUCGUAUUACCGCGGCUGCUGGCACGAAGUUAGCCGGUGCUUAUUCUUUGGGUACCGUCAUCCCAACCGGGUAUUAGCCAGCUGGAUUUCUUUCCCAACAAAGGGGCUUUACAACCCGAAGGCCUUCUUCACCCACGCGGUAUGGCUGGAUCAGGCUUGCGCCCAUUGUCCAAUAUUCCCCACUGCUGCCUCCCGUAGGAGUCUGGACCGUGUCUCAGUUCCAGUGUGGCUGAUCAUCCUCUCAGACCAGCUACGGAUCGUCGCCUUGGUGGGCCUUUACCCCGCCAACUAGCUAAUCCGACAUCGGCUCAUUCAAUCGCGCAAGGUCCGAAGAUCCCCUGCUUUCACCCGUAGGUCGUAUGCGGUAUUAGCGUAAGUUUCCCUACGUUAUCCCCCACGAAAAAGUAGAUUCCGAUGUAUUCCUCACCCGUCCGCCACUCGCCACCCAGAGAGCAAGCUCUCCUGUGCUGCCGUUCGACUUGCAUGUGUUAGGCCUACCGCCAGCGUUCACUCUGAGCCAGGAUCAAACUCUG
rnacentral:rRNA from 1 species